AUAUGUCUAGAGGUAGGGCUUGUUUUGCUGGUCUUGGUCAGAAGUUGAGGUUGAACAAGUCCAUUGCCUCAUCAAAGAGACGCAACCACCACAAGAUUUCGUAUAUACCAACCACAUCCGGUUCAUCCUUCGGGACGAGAAAAAGUAAAGCUUUGUUCAAGUGCAAGGGCUUGUGCUUGGAGACAAGAAAUACAUCAAUUGAGACGAGAAGAUAAUCCUUGGAUUGCACUGCAUUUCGGACUCGGACACAACUUGAUCUUGCUUCAAGGUAACUUAUUCUCAAACACAAAACUCAUCACUAUAACUUUCAUCAUCUUUGCCUUGCUCCACCAAGAAAGCCCAAUCUUCAUUCUCUAGUUUUUAUAUAAUUGCUAGGAUGGAAAAUAUCUGAUUUCUACUCAUUGCAAAACACCUAAGAUCAUUUGAAGCAUACAAAUCUUACGUGUGAAAUUCAUACAUCACUUUUUCAAAAUUAUUGUCCCAUGGAUUGCCUUUGUUUUCUUAAUACAUUCUUUCCAUUCGAACCCAUUGAUAGAAACAAUUGGAUCGGUUGAAUAUGGUGGAUUUGCAUAUCGGCCCCCAUUCUAGGACGGUUUUCAAAGCAUUGCUUUGAUCAUAGACCAAAAUGGUUGACUUUACAGUAACCCACUUAUCUCUUGAAAGUGGGUAAGUUAAAAACUUCAACUUUUUCCCUUCCCUAAUUGUUACACUGGGACUUUGUAGAGGGAAUGCUAUUGCCAAUAAUAAACAAAUUUCAUUUAGUAAAGUCUCCACUUGCACGACCAAAAAAAGAUAAAAGAAAAAAGUCCCCACCUGGAUGCACGGCCAAGAUAAACAAGUGCAUCUCUAAAGCCACAAGUUCUUUAUACUUCUUGGCCGAGUUCUCAAUAAGAUCGACUAAGUCGAUUCAUUUCAUUCUUUUAAGUCUACACGACAACAAAUUAUCAAAGUGAGCGCCAACAUUACAUCAAACAUAUCUUAAAUUGACACGAUAGUAAAAGUUGGAUUCCAACAAUUUGUUCGUAAUGUUUCUAUCCACUUUUGUUUGUGCUGGCAUGUGUUCAGUUCAUAUUAGAUACUCUUGAACGAUGUAACAUCCAUUUAGACUGUAUUAUAUGUUUUUUGUUUGCGCAUUUGUUCGAAUGAACGUAGUUAUUCCGUGUGAAUUUUGUUUUUGUCACUUAUUCAAAAAGACUAAGUGAACUAAAUGUAUCUUGCUUACCAAUUACUAAGAGAAAGAAUUUUGUUUUGGGGAUUUAGAA